ensembl:lncRNA
AUGAUGUCACCAAUGGAGAGUGUUCCAUCAGCUUGCAACCUGAUGAGAGGAUCUACAAUUAAAAAACAAACGAAGAAGCAAACAAAAACUCUGGAUCACACUAAGUUUGAGCUAUUCCUUCUUAAACAUUUCUGGAAGAAUUUGUCACCUCAAUUUGCCAACUCACUAAUUUUCACUUUGCCAGUAGCUCAUGAGAAUUUUAAUUUAAAAAUGAGCUUUGGAUAGCAGAUGUAAGAUUUUGAUGAAACAUCUCAGUAUCUUGGACUUGGGUAACUCCAUUUUUACUAAAAAUUUUCAAGGACAUGUUUAAACGUGACACAAAUCCCUGGUGAACUCACAACUCUUCUGUUUAUAAUGGCAAUAAAAAUCAAGAUUAAAAAGAUAUAGCACAUAUUUAUAGCUAUACUUCGAACAUUCUGAGAAGAACAUCUUGACAUUGAAUGUUGCCAGCACAUUUUGCAUGGGAUGAACAAAGUAUGUCACAGGUAACUGUUUCUAUUCCAAAUCUCUUUUUGCACUGUCUCCAUCCAUGAAAAGUGGUCAUAAGGGCAACUUUGUAAUUCAUAUACUCAAGAGCUUUAGUUUAACAUUCAUUUUACAAAUUAGAUUCUACUUAGAUUUGGGUCAGUUUUAUGUUUGGUCAUAUGAAGGCCAACUUUUGUACCACAGCAAAAGAAGAGAUCAGGUGGGAUUUGAACUAGGAAAUCCAAGAUGCCCUAGUUUCCAACCUUUCCUUUUAUCUAUAUGGAUCUGACCAUUUCAUUAAUUUAAAUUCUUCAUUCUGGUUUAAGCAAAGGUGAAAGUACAACUUUAGCUAAAGGGUAACUGUACUUAGUUUGGUAUAGGUUCACUUACACGGUAUGUAAAAUAUGAAAAAUGAAUACAGCAUAAUAAUCACUUUGUUAUUGCAAAUUUUCUAUGCAACUCAGGGAAAUGCUUCAAAAGAAGGAUUCUCAAGGUAAUUUCUAUUGAAAACCUGCAAAAGUAAUCUUUCUCCUGCAUUUUUACGUUAAAAAAUGAGUUUAACUAAAAAUAUGCCCCACACAGGCAUUUUCUCCUAGUUUGAAAAAUGUACUUAAUUAUCUUUAGGAUAAGGAUAUUUUCUUUCAAAUCUGCCCCCUGAGGUUCACUCACUUAUUCCAUACUUGUCACAGAAAGGUCAGGUCUCCCUGGUGUUUGUGGAUACUUGGUCCACAAAUUUAAGAUGUUUGAAAGUCAAAGAAGAGAAAGAAGAUGAAAAUAUUAUUUCUUCCUUAUAUAAUAGCUCUUUUCCUCUUUUUUAAAAAUAAAUUUAUCUCAAAAUAAAGUACAGAUUAUUUUCACUUAUUAAAUGCUCAAAAUUGAAAAAAGAAUUUCCAACUGUGAAAUUAUAUGUUAUUAAACAAUUCACAAGAGCACUCGAUUAACUGUGAGAAACCAAUUUAGAAUGAAUCACCCCAAAAUCGUUAUGUUGAAGAAUAAUACAAUAUUACUUAAUAAAAUUCAUUUUUACCCAUGCCAUACAAUCAUAAAUCUGGGUCAAAUUAUUCAAGAAAAUAUUGCAUAAUUGUUAUACUAUAUUACCAGAUUUUUUUUUUCUAAAUUGAAAAACUAAAAGCUUCUAAAAUUGGCAAGUUAUAAGUAAGAGUUGUCACUAUCUAGGAAACUUUCCUUACCCCUUGCAUAAGUCAUCUUUAUUGCCUGCUAGUUAUAGAUGUUAGAAAAUGACUCUGGCCACAUACAUAGAAAAUGAAUUUAGAAAUUUAUAACUGGGUCACAAAAAACAAUGAGAAGCCUAGGGAAGUAGAUUCUGAAAUCUCACUAGAAUCAGGAAGCAGAGGUUAAACAGCUCAGCACAGCAUGGUCAGAAUGCUUCUACUGUCAUUGCCAUUACUGUAUAUUUGUCAAUGUCACUCCUGUUUUCAAUUCUAACG